GUCCUAGCCGUAAACGCUGCGAGCAAGGUAUUGCGCCUCCCACGAGGAUGCGCAGUGUCGAAGAGAAGUCGUUAAGCUCGCCACCAGGGAAGUACGGUCGCAAGGCUGAAACUUUAAGGAAUUGGCGGGGGAGCGCCACAAGGGGUGCGGCGUGCGGUUCAAUCUAACUCAACGCAGAGAACCUCACUAGGCCCGACGGCAGGAUGAAGGUCACGCUGAAGACGUUACCUGACGAGCCGAGAGGUAGUGCAUGGCCGUCGU
rnacentral:rRNA from 1 species